AGGAGGGGGGUUGGAGGGGCAUGCAUCAAGAUUCGUGCUCGAUGGCCUCGGCCAUGGCCAUGGAGUAGGAACGGGAGGGUGGGAAGAGCGAGAAGGUCUUGAAGUUAUUUGGAGUCAGUAUUGUUCGAGGAGAGGUGGGAGGCAUGGAGGAGGCCGACGCGGAGGAGGAGGAGGUGAUGAGGAAGAGCUCCAGCAUGGGCAACCUGGCCUCAUGCGCCGCCGUGCCUUUGGUCAUCGAUCAUGGCGCCGGCGACCAGGGGUACCACUCCGACGGUGGCAUCCUCCAGUCCGCCACCGGGAGGAGGAGGAGGAGAUGCCAGGAGCGAAAGAGAGAUUCAAUGCAUGUGAGAUGCUGGAGAGGAGCAGGAUCGGCGAGAUCAUAUCUGCAGGGGAUUCCAUCGGCAGAAACCAGUGGAAGUCCUUCCUGUGCAUGCUGGCCAAAGCUGUGCAGAACAAGUCCAGCAUCAAGCACAAAGGCUUCCUGUCCAUAGUCUUCCAUUGCUUGUCGUCGUAUCGGGAUGCGUCUUCGCUUAUCUUGUGAAAGCAGAGGAUCAUGGAAUCCGAAUAGUCCUUUUUCAAAAUCAGCAGUUAAUUGUCAUGGUGGGUGCAAGACAUCAAUGUCCAAUGUGGUUAUGUCAAUCUGCAUGAUGUUGGUCUUGCUCUUCUUGGCACCUCUCUUCAACUACACUCCCCUGCUGGCUCUAUCUGCCAUCAUUGCUGUUGCCAUGAUUGGGCUUAUCGAGUAUGAAGAAGCUUAUCGCCUCUUCGAGGUGGACAAAUUUGACUUCUUAAUCUGCAUGUCUGCAUUCUUUUUCUACAUUUAUGGUGAUGUAUUUUGCCUGUUAAUGUUCUCCUAUCGACUAUUUGUAGGAGUUUGAUAGUA